CCUACGCGAGGCAGCAGCAGGGAAUUUUCGGCAAUGGGGGGAACCCUGACCGAGCAACGCCGCGUGAACGAAGAAGUUAUUCGUAAUGUAAAGUUCUUUUAACAGGGAAGAAAGAGAAAUUUGACGGUACCUGAAGAAUAAGCUCCGGCUAACUACGUGCCAGCAGCCGCGGUAAUACGUAGGGAGCGAGCGUUAUCCGGAAUUAUUGGGCGAAAAGGGUGCGUAGAUGGCAUAGUAAGUCUUUUGUAAAAAUGCUGGGCUCAACCCAGUAGGGCAAAAGAUACUGCAAAGCUAGAGUAUGACAGAGGCAAGUGGAACUACAUGUGUAGCGGUAAAAUGCGUAAAUAUAUGUAAGAACACCAGUGGCGAAGGCGGCUUGCUGGGUCGAUACUGACAUUGAGGCACGAAAGCGUGGGGAGCAAACAGGAUUAGAUACCCGAGUAGGC
rnacentral:rRNA from 1 species